rnacentral:rRNA from 1 species
UUCUGGUUGAUCCUGCCAGAGGCCACUGCUAUCGGAGUUCGAUUAAGCCAUGCGAGUCGAGAGGUGCAAGACCUCGGCAUACUGCUCAGUAACACGUGGACAAUCUAACCUAUGGAAGGGGAUAACCCCGGGAAACUGGGGAUAAUACCCUAUAGACUAUGAAUGCUGGAAUGCUUUGUAGUCCAAAGGUCAGCCGCCAUAGGAUGGGUCUGCGGCCGAUUAGGUUGUUGUUGGGGUAACGGCCCAACAAGCCUGUAAUCGGUACGGGUUGUGGGAGCAAGAGCCCGGAGAUGGAUUCUGAGACACGAAUCCAGGCCCUACGGAGCGCAGCAGGCGCGAAAACUUUACAAUGCGGGAAACCGUGAUAGGGGAACUCCGAGUGCCCGUUAAAUCGGGCUGUCCAUCAGUUUAAAUAACUGACGAAGAGAGGGCCGGGCAAGACCGGUGCCAGCCGCCGCGGUAAUACCGGCGGCUCGAGUGGUGGCCACUAUUACUGGGCUUAAAGCGUUCGUAGCUGGUUUGUUAAGUCUCUGGGGAAAUCUUCCGGCUUAACCGGAAGGCGUUUCAGGGAUACUGGCAGACUAGGGACCGGGAGAGGUGAGGGGUACUCCAGGGGUAGGAGUGAAAUCCUGUAAUCCUUGGGGGACCACCUGUGGCGAAGGCGCCUCACCAGAACGGCUCCGACAGUGAGGGACGAAAGCUGGGGGAGCAAACCGGAUUAGAUACCCGGGUAGUCCCAGCCGUAAACGAUGUGCGUUAGGUGUAUCGGUGACCACGAGUCACCGAGGUGCCGAAGAGAAAUCGUGAAACGUACCGCCUGGGAAGUACGGUCGCAAGGCUGAAACUUAAAGGAAUUGGCGGG